UUCCUGGCAGUCUAGUGGUUAAGACUCCAUGCUCUCAAUGCUGAGGUUCCAGUUUCAAUUCCUGGUCGGGAAA
rnacentral:tRNA from 1 species